AGUGGCGGACGGGUGAGUAACGCGUGGGUAACCUGCCUCAUACAGGGGGAUAACAGUUAGAAAUGACUGCUAAUACCGCAUAAGCGCACAGUACCGCAUGGUACGGUGUGAAAAACUCCGGUGGUAUGAGAUGGACCCGCGUCUGAUUAGGUAGUUGGUGGGGUAACGGCCUACCAAGCCGACGAUCAGUAGCCGACCUGAGAGGGUGACCGGCCACAUUGGGACUGAGACACGGUCCAA
rnacentral:rRNA from 1 species